UGAUCUUACAGAACAAGCUAUUGCUGUUCUG
rnacentral:misc_RNA from 1 species